rnacentral:sRNA from 1 species
CACUAGUAUAGAGCCGUUGUCGCUCUCCUAAUGAGUCUAAGGCAUGCCGAAACUAGUG